CCUACGGGUGGCUGCAGUGGGGAAUAUUGCACAAUGGGCGCAAGCCUGAUGCAGCCAUGCCGCGUGUGUGAAGAAGGCCUUCGGGUUGUAAAGCACUUUCAGCGGGGAGGAAGGCGUUAAGGUUAAUAACCUUGGCGAUUGACGUUACCCGCAGAAGAAGCACCGGCUAACUCCGUGCCAGCAGCCGCGGUAAUACGGAGGGGGCAAGCGUUAAUCGGAAUUACUGGGCGUAAAGCGCACGCAGGCGGUCUGUCAAGUCGGAUGUGAAAUCCCCGGGCUCAACCUGGGAACUGCAUUCGAAACUGGCAGGCUAGAGUCUUGUAGAGGGGGGUAGAAUUCCAGGUGUAGCGGUGAAAUGCGUAGAGAUCUGGAGGAAUACCGGUGGCGAAGGCGGCCCCCUGGACAAAGACUGACGCUCAGGUGCGAAAGCGUGGGGAGCAAACAGGAUUAGAUACCCUUGUAGUC
rnacentral:rRNA from 1 species